rnacentral:rRNA from 1 species
UACGAAGGGGGCUAGCGUUGUUCGGAAUCACUGGGCGUAAAGCGCACGCAGGCGGAUCGAUAAGUCGGGGGUGAAAGCCCGGGGCUCAACCUCGGAAUUGCCUUCGAUACUGUCGGUCUCGAGUCCGGGAGAGGUGAGUGGAAUUCCUAGUGUAGAGGUGAAAUUCGUAGAUAUUAGGAAGAACACCAGUGGCGAAGGCGCCUCACGGGCCCUGUACUGACGCUCAGGUGCGAAAGCGUGGGGAGCAAACAGG